rnacentral:lncRNA from 1 species
UUAGUUAGAGAGUUUCUGUCCGUGAAUACCGGCUUUUUAAUCAUUCACUGGAAACGUCGAGCAGACGGAGAUCUAGGAAGCAAAGGCAACCCUGAGUCGCUUCCAGCGUGCCCUCAGCCCCGCCAGAGCCUCAGCACCCCCACAGCCUCCCCAGUCGCUCCAAAGCCUUCUCAGCCUUUGCAGCCCUUCCAUCAGCCGCUCCCUCUCGCGGCGCUCCGCGGCCUCCCCUGCGCAGGGAGCAGCGGCGCAGGAAGCGGAGCAGCCGCGCCUCUGGGGCUCGGCGCGGGGCAGCGCUCAGGCACAGAGCCCGCAGCGCAGAGACACUCCCUGCACGGCGCCCCUUCGGCUCCGCGCCCAGAGCUUCGAUGCCGGGCAGGCGGCUCGCUCGGGCUCCCUGGAGCCGGCACUGGGGCACGGCCCGGCCCCCACAGCGCCGGGAGGGGCUGGGAGGACAGGGACGGCAUUUGGGGGUCCUGGGGUUCACUGGGAGACCCUCACUGGGAACCCCCUUCCCGCUGUCCCACCUCCCCUCAUCCGCCCUCUCCCGCCCCUUUCCCACCGUCCCCCGAACCCCAGCUCCCCCCAGCUCGGUUUGGGGGGGACCCACCCCUUUCCCACCGUGUCCCGUCCCCGCCCCGCUCACCCGAGAGCUCCUCGCCAGCAGCCGGGGGGACGCAGGAGGAGGAGGAGGAGGAGGAGGAGCGGGAGGAAGAGGAGGGGCAGAGGAGGAGCGGGAGCAGGAAGGGGAGCAGCGAGAGGAGGCGCCGCGUGCGUCCAGCGCUCUCUGGAUCUGCAGCCCCUUCGCGCCGGGAGCAUCGCUGUCCCCGCAUGCCGCAGGACUUCUCAUUCCCAAGCCUUGGCCGAAUGGAGGAGGAGGAGGCAGUGAGGAAGAUGCCCCGGGAGCCCCAGGCAGGCACUGAGCUGCAGAUGGAGACCAGGGAGGACAAAUCCCUGUGGCAGAACCUCAUGGAAGAGGCUGCUUUGAGUGGCUCAAUGGCACAGGAAUCACACGGAGAGGAAAAGCCAGAGGGAUCCCCCACAAGGAGGGGCUCCAAAGCCAGCCCAGGGUGCUCUGAGGAGAAAAGGCCCCCCCUCUGCUUCAUCCAGAGGCCCAACCUGGUGGUCCAUGAGCAGCUGCACACUGGGGAGAAGCCCUACAAGUGCUUGGAAUGUGGGAAGAGCUUCAGCCACA